UACGUAGGGGGCGAGCGUUGUCCGGAUUCAUUGGGCGUAAAGAGCUCGUAGGCGGCUUGCUAAGUCAGGUGUGAAAUCUCCAGGCUCAACCUGGAGUCGCCACCUGAUGACUGGUAUGGCUUGAGUCCGGUAGGGGAUCACGGAAUUCCUGGUGUAGCGGUGAAAUGCGCAGAGUAUCAGGAGGAACACCGGUGGCGGAAAGGCGGUGAUC
rnacentral:rRNA from 1 species